rnacentral:rRNA from 1 species
CCUACGGGUGGCAGCAGUCGAGAAUCAUUCACAAUGGGGGAAACCCUGAUGGUGCGACGCCGCGUGGGGGAAUGAAGGUCUUCGGAUUGUAAACCCCUGUCAUGUGGGAGCAAAUUAAAAAGAUAGUACCACAAGAGGAAGAGACGGCUAACUCUGUGCCAGCAGCCGCGGUAAUACAGAGGUCUCAAGCGUUGUUCGGAAUCACGGGGCGUAAGGCGUGCGUAGGCUGUUUCGUAAGGCGUGUGUGAAAGGCGCGGGCUCAACCCGCGGACGGCACAUGAUACUGCGAGACUAGAGUAAUGGAGGGGGAACCGGAAUUCUCGGUGUAGCAGUGAAAUGCGUAGAUAUCGAGAGGAACACUCGUGGCGAAGGCGGGUUCCUGGACAUUAACUGACGCUGAGGCACGAAGGCCAGGGGAGCGAAAGGGAUUAGAUACCCCUGUAGUC